rnacentral:tRNA from 1 species
UGGGGCGACUCUGAGCACGAAAAUGGUAAAACCUGCGGUUACUUGUAUGGGGUACAAGUGGUCGCAGGUUCAAAUCCUGUCGCCCCGACCA